AGUUAAAGUAAAGAAGUAAAAUACAUUUAAUUUCGACUUAAAAUUAGAGCAUUAAGCUCCAUGCUUAAAUUA
rnacentral:tRNA from 1 species